GGGGUGUGUUCGCUGUUUCCUUUCCCUCUCUUUCCCCUGUGGAAGCUCCAUCGCGGGGUGGAUUUUUCCCCUUUCUGUCAGAAUCUGACUUUAAAAGAUGUCUGAGCGCCCAGGCGGCGGCGGUGUGCCAGUGGGUGUGGGGAGGCGGAAGAUACAGUGCUGUGGGGACGUGGCUGUGAGGAGUAUCGUGUGUGGUGCAACUAUCGCAGCAGCUGCCCAGGAGUCAUGCAGACAGAGGUGCUGAUUAAGCAGAGAAAUGCUGAAAAUAAUUCUACAUAAAGCAUUUCAAGAUGUGCAUGAGGACUCUCUUCCCCUCAGUACUGAUUUUGCUAUUAGGUGAGGCUUGUGAUGAAGGAAGCCAGUGAGAAGCACACUCUUGCAAGUAUUAGCAUUCUGUGCUUUUACUGCUUUCUGCUCAGCAGAUGAGCAGACUUUGUAUCCCCUGUGCUCUUGCAUGCAAAAAGAUGCUGUGUUAAACAAGUAUGGAAAAGUCUGAG
ensembl:lncRNA